AGAGUUUGAUCAUGGCUCAGAUUGAACGCUGGCGGCAGGCCUAACACAUGCAAGUCGAACGGUAACAGGAAGCAGCUUGCUGCUUUGCUGACGAGUGGCGGACGGGUGAGUAAUGUCUGGGAAACUGCCUGAUGGAGGGGGAUAACUACUGGAAACGGUAGCUAAUACCGCAUAACGUCGCAAGACCAAAGAGGGGGACCUUAGGGCCUCUUGCCAUCGGAUGUGCCCAGAUGGGAUUAGCUAGUAGGUGGGGUAACGGCUCACCUAGGCGACGAUCCCUAGCUGGUCUGAGAGGAUGACCAGCCACACUGGAACUGAGACACGGUCCAGACUCCUACGGGAGGCAGCAGUGGGGAAUAUUGCACAAUGGGCGCAAGCCUGAUGCAGCCAUGCCGCGUGUAUGAAGAAGGCCUUCGGGUUGUAAAGUACUUUCAGCGGGGAGGAAGGGAGUAAAGUUAAUACCUUUGCUCAUUGACGUUACCCGCAGAAGAAGCACCGGCUAACUCCGUGCCAGCAGCCGCGGUGAUACGGAGGGUGCAAGCGUUAAUCGGAAUUACUGGGCGUAAAGCGCACGCAGGCGGUUUGUUAAGUCAGAUGUGAAAUCCCCGGGCUCAACCUGGGAACUGCAUCUGAUACUGGCAAGCUUGAGUCUCGUAGAGGGGGGUAGAAUUCCAGGUGUAGCGGUGAAAUGCGUAGAGAUCUGGAGGAAUACCGGUGGCGAAGGCGGCCCCCUGGACGAAGACUGACGCUCGGGUGCGAAAGCUUGGGGAGCAAACAGGAUUAGAUACCCCGGUAGUCCA
rnacentral:rRNA from 1 species